GCGUGAAUAGCUCAGUCGGUAGAGCAUGAGAUUGUAGAUCUCGAGGUUGUGGGUUCGAGCCCCACGUUGGGCA